UAGCAGAGAUAAAAAAAUGGCAUGUUAUGUUCCUUUUAACAGCAGAAAUUUGGACAUAAGCUUCUUCAUAUUAAGACCAACAAUUGUUUGCGCAGAUUCUCUUAUUGAUGCUCUGAAGCAGUUUUCUUCAUACACUGACGGCCUUGGCUGUGUUCAUAGUUCUAUAUUUACUAGUAUUCAUGGGAGCAUGAUUGUAUGGUAUGGGGCUUGGAUGAAGAGGAGUGAUGAGAACAAGCAACUCCUAAUUGCUGCCCUUAUUUCGGUCCUAACAAAUUUGGUCGAAAGCAUGGCCAUAUUAAUCGACCACAGCUUCUUCGAAGCAUACGCGGGAGAAUCGAGAGACGGCUCUCCGGCGGCCAAGUUCUUCACCGGCGACGUGGUGGCGAUGAGCUCGGCCAUCCUGUCCGGCGAGUGCGAAUCCAACGCGUUGAGCUGUGCAUACGCAUUUCUAGCCAUAUUUAAAGACCAGUUUCUCAAAAUGGAAGGCGCGGCGGCCGGCGUUUGCUUCAAGUCGAAAACCAUGCCGAAAAUAGUAGGCCUUGUGGUGUGGAAGUCACUGCACUCGUUCUACACGUACGUUUUAGCCUCGGAUUUUCGAAACCGAAUCCUUCCUUAUUUUGAUGGAUUUGCGGUCGACAUCAAGUAUGAUGUUUUUCGUGUGGCUUAUGUUAGUGCUCAAAAUGGCCUCGAUCAACCACUCCAAGGUGGAUUACAGACAUGAUCAUUUUACUAAUUUGGUCGUAUUUUCCACCCAAUUUUGAUGUGUUUAUGUGAGAAUUAUAAGAUGAAUUAAAGCAAGUAAGCAACUAUAACUCAAUGUGUGAGAGAGAGGUGCCAUAUAUGCCAGUGGUUAAAAUGGCUUCAUAUGCAGAAUUGGAUCAUUGAGGCUGGAAAAAUUGGCUUGAACUGACUUGAGCGGCUCCUUGAUUGCUGUAGCUUUGCAGAGGGGGCAGAAGUUCUUGCCGCAGACAAGCCACCGCCGUAUGCAGUUGGGAUGAAACUCGUGGCCGCAAUCCAAACUAGUCACCGAUCCUCGGUACAGAUCGUCUAAACAUAUGCAACAAACUUCGUCUUCAUCUUGAUGGGUUUCGUCGCAGCGACUUGUCUUGAAACAAGAGAGAACGUCGUCUUCGGAAUCGGGGGAAUCCACGUGGGUGUUGGUAACGGCCCAGACGCGAAUAUGCAAGCCGUAGCAAAUGGGAAGAAAGGAAGAGAAGGCGGGAGGAGGGGUGGCUUCAAAAGGAAAGAUCUCAACGGUAGUUCCUUCUUGUUGGGUAACUUCAUUAAACCACGUUGCUGUCGUUUGGUAUUCCUCAAUGCUCCAUGGCCACCAUAAAAUUGUUUCCGAUUCAAGAGCGCGUGUCUCUGUCUCUGUCGCUGCCAUCGCCUUUGAUCUUGAUUGGGAGAAAUUUGGUGUUUAGAGAAGUAUGAGAAAUAAUCAAGGCGAGGGGUUGAAGAUUUAUAGCUUCAGCAUAAAUAU